UACGGGGGGGGCAAGCGUUGUUCGGAAUUACUGGGCGUAAAGGGCUCGUAGGUGGCCAACUAAGUCAGACGUGAAAUCCCUCGGCUUAACCGGGGAACUGCGUCUGAUACUGGAUGGCUUGAGUUUGGGAGAGGGAUGCGGAAUUCCAGGUGUAGCGGUGAAAUGCGUAGAUAUCUGGAGGAACACAGGUGGCGAAGGCGGCAUCCUGGACCAACACUGACACUGAGGAGCGAAAGCCAGGGGAGCAAACGGG
rnacentral:rRNA from 1 species